rnacentral:rRNA from 1 species
GAUGAACGCUGGCGGCGUGCCUAAUACAUGCAAGUCGAGCGAACAGACGAGGAGCUUGCUCCUCUGACGUUAGCGGCGGACGGGUGAGUAACACGUGGAUAACCUACCUAUAAGACUGGGAUAACUUCGGGAAACCGGAGCUAAUACCGGAUAAUAUAUUGAACCGCAUGGUUCAAUAGUGAAAGACGGUUUUGCUGUCACUUAUAGAUGGAUCCGCGCCGCAUUAGCUAGUUGGUAAGGUAACGGCUUACCAAGGCAACGAUGCGUAGCCGACCUGCGAGGGUGAUCGGCCACACUGGAACGGAGACACGGUCCAGACUCCUACGGGAGGCAGCAGUAGGGAAUCUUCGGCAAUGGGCGAAAGCCUGACGGAGCAACGCCGCGUGAGUGAUGAAGGUCUUCGGAUCGUAAAACUCUGUUAUUAGGGAAGAACAAAUGUGUAAGUAACUAUGCACGUCUUGACGGUACCUAAUCAGAAAGCCACGGCUAACUACGUG